GCCCCGAUGCUGGAAUUGGCAGACAGGUACGCUUCAGGAGCGUAUGCCGCAAGGCGUAGAGGUUCAACUCCUCUUCGGGGCACCA
rnacentral:tRNA from 1 species